ACUCCGUAUAGCUCAGGUUCUUACAGCAUGGUGCUGAUAACGCCAAGGUUGCGAGUUCGAUCCCCAUAUGGGACA